rnacentral:lncRNA from 1 species
AGUGAUUUCAGCUGAAUUCAUCUUCUGUCUCACGAGGCGCGGCGAGGGGGCGCGGGGGCCCCGGGACGGCGGGGGCGGCUGGAGCGGCCGCCGCUGGUGCCCGCCUCUCCCCCCCGCUCUUUGUGUGCGAGGGUCCGCGCGCUGCGCUCUCGCGUGACGUGACGGGACCGUGUGUCAUUUCCGCACAAGGACACCGAGCCCCGAGCCGCCGCGGCCAGCGCCACCCGCCGCCCCGGGGCAGGGGCAGAGGCGGGGGGCGGGGGUGGGAGGGGGGAGCGGGGAGGAGCGGGCCUCUCUUCCCCCGGUCCGCCCCCGCCCGCCCCGCCGGGGGCACGCGCCGCUCCCACCGGAGACCCCGCGCGCGGCCCCGCCACGCGCGCGCCCGCUGCCCGCCCGCGAGACCCGGCCGCACGUGGGCUGGCGCCGAGCACGUGGCCGCGGGGCGCCGCGCGCCGCCGUUGGGCGCCGUUAUCGCGGCCCCCCCCUCCCCCCUCCCCCCGGCUCCCACUUCGGCCCUCGGCCGUCGCCUCGUGGCCGCCCCACGCGGGGCCCCGCGGCGAUCCCCGCGGCCCCGUGCGGGAGGGGAGCGCCGGCAGCGGCCGGGGCCGGCUGCGAGGAGCUGUGAAACGGGAAGCGCUCUCUGUUUUAACGAGUAUCCGUGUCGAUGUUAUCUGUUUUGACAGCGACGCGUGGAACGUCAGUUCGGCGAAUCCUGCGCUUUCCGCUCCGAGCUCGCGGGAAAGCCCCGACGACGAAACCGUACAUAACCGUGAGGAGGACGGCCCCGUCGGGCGGGCUCCGGCCGGCUGCGGCGCGCUGCGCGGCGACCCAAAGCGGCGGCGCUCCGUCGCGGCGGGCAUCGCGCGGCGGCCGCUCCCCGCGCGCAGAUCCCGCGCACGGCGCUGCGCCCUCAUUGUUUCACUUCUCCCACGGCCGAAGGAGCCGAGCGCCGCGUUGCUGCGUUACGCGCGUGUGAAGCGGUUGGGAAAUGACUUUCCAGGAACAAAACCUCUCUCCGAUAAACCCGCUGCCCCACGAGCGCUUCAGCCCUCCCCCGGGUGCUCCCGGUUGCCUUUAGGACUGAGUGAAUCUUGACGAAGUUUGUGGUCCGAGGCGCUGGCAUUAGGAGCGGCUCCCUGACAUCUCUGUUUUCCGUUUGUGGGGCCCCUCUGAGUUUGGGCUGUGGGGUUUGGGACAUCCUCACGGUGCCACGGUGGCCGCGUAAUGCUCGCAAGGCAAUGCUUUGCUGACUUAACGUCGGCUGUGCUUUUAGUUGUUCCGAAGGGACGGCUGUUACAGCAGCCCUUCCCAGCAGAGCUGCCAGCUUCCAGACCGCUCCGACGGACCCCUUAACGAGGAUACGAUUUAUUAACGAGACAAGAAUCUACAGCCAGCAACUCAUCGACCCUUCAGCGAUAAGGGCGCUUCCCGGUAACUUUCCUGGGCCUGUUAGCGCCACGAAGGUGAAGUUUCCGGCGUGGUUCGUCCUCUGCCUUGUUCACAGAGCUAACUGAAGGGUACAGUGCUUUAGCACCUGGCCCGGCUGCCGGGUAGUGCCGUGUCCCACUUGCAUUUCACUUGGGUCCUUUACUUAGUGGGAUUAGGCAGAGGUAACCGUAAGGCAGGAGCGCGCCGCUGGAAUCCCAAACUCCAUUUCAGAGCCCUUGAGAACACACUCGCCGGCCUGAACUCCGCCUCCUUUCUGCUCUGCGGCGCUGGCCCGAGGCACUGCAGCUACCAGGGACCCAAGCCCAGGAGGAGACCCGAAGGGCCUCAGCUAAGCAUAAAGAAUCACAGCGUAUUGCUGCGAUAACAGCACUCGCUGAGAGGGGAGCAGGCCGAGCUGUCUCCAGGCAAUGCAGGGAGCAGCGUAGAUUGGCUUCCUGGCCAGACAGCUCCCGGUUCUUUCACCAUUUGAACUCGUGCUGAACAACUCAUUUAUUCAAAUGUUCGCUUAUUUCCCUUCGUGCCUUUGGCUCAAAAGCCACUCUGUAACACUGCAGCAAUCUCUGGAAAAUUCUGCUGGGAAGGGAUGCUCUGCUACUCCAACACGAGCACUCUUUAGGAAAAAAACACCAUCGCUCCUGAGUGCAAACAGUGUGCCAUCGCUCACCCCGCCAGGCUGAAACAACUUGAGUUGAAAGGGCCCCUAAAGACCAUCAAGCCCUAACCCCAUGCCGUGGGCUGGUUACCACCCCCCCAGCUCAGCUGCCCAGGGCCCCAUCCAACCUGGCCUUGAGCGCCUCCAGGGAUGGGGCACCACAGCUUCUCUGGGCAGCUGUGCCAGCGCCUCACCACCACUGAGCAAAGAAUUCCCUUUGAACAUCUCACCUAAAUCUGCAUUGGUAGACUGGCAGUGAGGGUGCAGGUGGUGUCUCUACUGCAGCAGGCAUGAGUGAGGAGCUGGGGCAGCUCAGUGUGCUGAGGCCACGGCAUGGUACAGUAACGUGGAGAGAGAAUGGCCACAAAUGUAGAGGCCUCUCUGCUUGUCAUGCAUGUUUGGCAUGAAUGAGGACCCAAACCUCCUGCACGGUUCCUUUCUUGAUGAUUGCUGCAAUAUCGUGCAGCACUGGGGAGGCAGUGUUGUGGCAUGUGAUAUUGAAAGUGUUCUCAGUGCUAGUUAUGGCAGUUUGGUUCUGUAUAAUGUACCACUGCAGCACCAGUCAAUCUCUUUUCUCCAGCACACAUCUUAAAUCUAAGCGACCCUGCAGCCAGACCCAAGAGCCAGAAAGCAGAAGAGAAACAGCCUUAGUGUGCAGAGUGAGUUCCUUGCAAGUCAUAUGCAUUUUGCACAAGACCUUACGGUGAAAUCAAGUCCCUUUCUCAUAGGAAGGCAUGCAGGGCCUCCUCUUGCCUGAUGCCUGACUUCCUGCUGCCUGCAGGAGCAGGGCACGCUCUGCUCAACGUGCAGGUGCACUGAGAGAUGGAGCUAGAGGGCACUGCCUGGAGGAUGGGGCCAGUGCUCGCUGCUGGAAGCCAGUACACUGCCAGGGCCAGGAUUGCUCUCUAGUGCUUCCCGUAAGUGCACGGAUGAAGUCAGGAGUCUGCACCGGCCUGCCAGAACUGGACAGGUGCAUGAGAACGUCCCAAAAUGGAAAAAUAAAUCAGUCCACUUAACUCACUGAAUCUACACUAAAAACUGGUCUGUGACUCAACAUUUAUACAAGCCUGAAAUAUUCAGUGGCAAAUAAGGCAAGAGCAUCUGUCACAUGGUGACCCACUUCACACUCCUCAGAACCUUUCACUGCCAGCCAAACUCAAGGGAUGUCCGUGGACAAAUAGCACGUGCCUGCUUAGAGCCCGUGCCAGCCCACAGGCAACAAUGCUGAACAAGUAACGUGCUGCAGGCACUAUCCAGACCAUGCUGCGACUGAGGGGUGGAGAAACUGCAGAAGACACCCGAGCUUCUUUUCUAUUUGCAAACUUUCCAUGGGUGCAAGCAGUGUUGGGGGGCUCUGCCUGUAACAUCCUGCACUGACUGGGAAACACUGGCUUGGAGUGCUAGCUAAUAUAAAUGCAGGUUUUCUUCUCAGAAAUAAAAUUAGUACGUGAUGCUUUUAAAUUCUGUAGCAACACUGCAUCUUGUUCUUAAGUACAACGAUAGCUGCUGUUGGAAGCCAGACUUUGCAAAUACAGGCAAGAAAUACAGUAGUUGUAUUGCUAGUUGAGGAUGUCAAAAUAGAGAAUCCAAAGUCAUAUCAAAACUGUAUUGGAAGAUGGGAGUAAGCCAGAACAGUAGUGGAGCAUCACGAAUAGAGUAACUGACCCAGAGAGCAACUGCAAAUCUCCCUCUGUGCUGCAGCAGUUGAUUCAUACAUCAGUUGCAUCCACAACUGAUUAAAAAUUGACAUGGCUGAGCAAUUUCACUCCUGGAAGUGUGAGCCCCUCUUAACCUCUUGGCAAUGAAAUCGUUACGUAGAGAAAUAAUGCUUUAGGCCUGUUGCGUAGUCUCAUAGCUCAUUAAGAUAUCUGCGUUUAAAUAUUUGCAGCAAUAUGUAAAAAAGAGUAAUAAUUUGGCAAGCAAUGUAGAAAACAGGGUUUCACUGAGAGCUCCUCUGUCUGAUGUGCUGAGUAAUUUAUUUUUAAGCAAAGACUUCUCUUUUUUGUUGUUUUUAAGUGGGAGGAACAGCGUUCGGGUCAAAGAAGCCCUUGUGAAAGGAACCCUCUUUACUUCAGAAGCCGCUCAAGAUCUUCCCUUUUCAUUCUUUGCCCCCAGUGCUAUGGGAGAGCUGUUCAGUGGACAGGAACCUUUCCUUCUGGACGUGCAUUUGUGUGCAUCCCUGCUUCGCAGCUCUUAGAUACUGCAACCCAAACUGCCGCAGCGACUUGGAGAGCAGUCACGUAUUUGGAAAGUGAACGCUUUUUACCAAGCAGAAAAUAAAUCUGCCUUGGAAACUGGAAAAUUUAACCUGUUUGGUUUCUUCUUCUUCCUCUAGAAAUGCAAGGUGAGGGGGCCUGCAUUUCCAAGAACGGAAGAAAUCCCACGUGCUUCAUGAUUAUUACUACAAGAAAAUGUGAUCAAAAGACAUUCCUUUCCAUAAAAGUUUAAGUAAGAAACACCGCCAGUCACUAGCAGCGUGCCUAUUUGUAGCAGCAUCGGUCUUUAAGGAACACUUGAUAUUUGAACUCCAUUUAUUUUCCUGCAAAGAUAUCUUAUCUCAGUGCAUGGGCAUCUAAAAGCCAUUUACAGCUCCUGAGCAGAGAAAGGGAUAAGUCAUAGUUGUUGUAAAUCGGUAUAAAACGUUAACACAUUCACUUCCACAGGUUGACAAAAGCAAUGCCAUUGUUUUAUUAAAAUAAGUCUCAGUAAUGCAGGCGUUUUUCCUUUACUGUUCUCCUGCCAGCGCUCCGCUGUAUUUCCUUUAUGUCGGUGCUGAAAAUAACGACGCGAGCAGCUAAGUGUAAUUGUACGAAAUUAUUGCUAGCGAUUUGCAUAUGAAACACACACCUUUGACUGCCUCCAGUUUGCAUUGUUCGGCUGGGUUAUAAAUAGUACAGCUCGAGUGCUGCAAACAGAAAACAGUUUUCAGCGGGCGCAUGCGAUGAAUGAAGAAGCGCUCCGGCACAAUGUGCAACUUGGAGAGCUUUCAUCAGGAUGGGCCAAGGAGGGAAAAGGCUUUCUCUCCUGAUCGUGCUCCGCUGGAGAGAAGCUGCUCACACCGUGAGCAUCCCGCUCAUCUGCAGAGCAAGGCUUUUCACAACCACUGUUUAUGUUUUUGUGGAGAAAAAAAAACAACACCAUGUAAUCUAAUCUGCAGGCAGUUGUUUCAGAUUCCACUAAUUACUUCUAGAUAACAUUUCCUGUUUGUAAUUUGACAUUUAAUAACUGCUAAAAUAUGAGCACUGCCGUUGAUUCAAGCAAUUCGGUGUAAAUGUCAAAGGCAGAAAAAGGGCUGGUUAUCAGAUGCUGGCUUUGGCGCAAGCAAAAUGCUCACUUCUGCGUGCAAUUAGAAAACGACAACGAAACCGAUCAUUAUUCCACUAACAAAGAGCAUUUUCAUUCCUUGGUAUGUGGGGAAGGAGCAAAGGGA